UGGUCAGUAUUAAGUGAAAGCUAAUUGGUCCUAAUUGGCAAACAGCGGUCAGUGUUAAGCAAAAGCUAAUUGGUUGUAUCCCGGUGGCCUGAUAAUCUUACCAAGUAGGAAGGCCUACUCUCGCCUCACAAAACUAGUUCCUGAAGCUGAUGUUAAGGGGACUCUCUGUUCUGACGUAGAAAGGACACUUCGAGGUCAGCUAGAGAAUCCCCGAGGCCUCAUCUGGACCUCAUCCCCCACCUGAAAGUCAGCUAUCCUGGCGUGCGAGAUCCAGUCAGAGUCAAGGACCUGCCGGCAGCUCUGGCCCGGGAGAGAGCGAGGCAGAGUCUGCGGCCCCGGGCUGCAGUGGGGGCGAAGCCUCUGGAACGUGCACCCCGCAGAACCCUUCCUCACAGCCUGGUGGGGCAGGGCGUGUAUUCCCCACUCAGAGGGCGUCACCCACGACGCAGGGACCCUCCACUGAGGACCAAGCCCUCGGAACACAGCUUUUGCCUGUCACACUUGACACACGACUCAGGGGAAGCAGGGGUGGGAUUUGGAGCCGAGACCCCGAGCACAAAGCCUGUGUGUCCUCUGCACGAACUGCUCCAUCUCCAGAGAGAGAAGGAAACGCCCCGAGGGAAAGGGCCGUGAGUGAUACGGACCACGGCUUCUGGAAUGUCUGAGGGGCUCAGUCACGACCGGACCCUUUCGUCUCUAAGGCAGUGAGUCAGGAUGGUGCCCAGCGGCAGACCCCGCCCCCGCCAGAAGCCAGGCGGCGCCUGCAGCUCGGAGCCCCUCCCCUCGGGCAUUCUCCCGGCUCGCGGCCCGUGGGGGCGGGGCUGCCCGAGGGGCGGAAGCGGACGCGGAAGCGGUUCGACGUGGGCCGCUGCCGCCCGGGAGAGCUCAGAGCCGCGGAGGAUCCCGUGUUCCCCUGGGCGACGACAGAGGGGCCUCCAGCCCGGGACACUCCUGAGAGGAGAAGCCUGCAGGCAUACCCGCCCCCGGCGCCCGCCGGCUGCCCAGAAGCGGAUAUGCACGCCCGUCAGCCGGCGCUGGGGGCCGGAUGGGGCCCCGGAGCUGCAGACCCGUCCUGGGGGCCUGGACUCUCAUUUCAGCCCUGCACUGCCGGAAGUCUCCGUUUUUAUGUAAAAUACGUCUGAUUCUCCUCUCCCUCCUCCACCUGGGCCGGCCUUCGCUUAGCUCAGAUGUCACCUGCUGGACGUCGCCUUUCCCUGCCACCCUGGUCCAGGACCCUUGGCCGCUGUUCACUGAGGAGUCCCUAGCCCUACCUGGGAGUCUGGAGCUGCCGUGGCCAGCAGGACGGGUGUGGGGUGUUGACAGCGAACAGAGCAGGGACGGUGGCCUCGCGGUUCCCCUCAUCCAUGACAGGGGACCCCCGAGGGUCUGAAGGUGGAGGGUAAGUCAGCCCAGGAACCCAGAUGGCCCAAGAGGCCAGAAUACCCUCCUCCCUGGAGAUGCCUCCUGGUCUCUGGGAAUAGGUCGCAGAGUGAAGGAGCGAAUACAAGAGGAUCUGAAAGGCAAAUGAACAAGGGCCUCAUUUGGUGCACACAGGCGGGCAGCCAGGCGGUAAAUUAGCGCCUGCCAGAUGAGAAGCAACGGGGAGAAGAGAUAGAAGCCAGUGAGGGGUGCAGCGGCUCCUCUGAGGUCGGGCUUGUGAGCGCAGACCCCACACCAGCCUGGGCGCGGCCUCGGAGAAAGCCCUUGAUUAAGAAAGAGAACGAUAAACAGGAAGGCGCUUCUUUCCAUCAAAGGCCGAUUUCCCUCCGUGUUGGGUCACGGUUCAGCGACUCCAGCCUCGUGGGAGACAAUGAAGCAGCUGCCUGCCUCCAGAGGAGCAGCUAAAGAGCCCGGGCCAGGCGCUGUGGAAGGGAGGGGGUCUUCCUUAAACUGUAUGGCUUGUCUCAGAUCUUUACAGGAGUGAUGUUGCUUAUAUUACCUUGUGUAUUCUAUCGUCCGCCCGCGGUUCUUUGUCUCAUGGUUUUCCUGGCAUCAUAGCUGAAUGGGUUUACCAGUUCUCUGGAGCCUUGGGCCCCCUCCUGUGAUGUCCCUCAGAAGGUCCAGCCCUUUCCUCCCUCGCCACCCCUCCCCCUCCCACGCUCCCCCUCCCCCUCCCACGCGCCCUCCCCUCCCCCUCCCACGCUCCUCCCCUCCCCCUCCCCGCCCUCCCCUCCCACUUCCAUGCUGCCCCAGAGAAGACCAGCUCCUUGUGGAUCAGCCACCCCUGGAUGGGUGCCCUGCUGAGUGGAGACGCAUUGACCUCAUUGACGUCAGUGUGUUUAAUCUGCAAACUCGGUGCUGUUGGCCCUAUUUUCCAGAUGAUGAACCACAGGGGCAGAGGUUCGUUUAUUUCCCGGUGGCCUCAAGUCCUCGGCCGACCUGGGCUCUGCACCGGGGCUCCUCAGCUCCCCCCACAGAGGCCGCCGUCCCGGCGGGAGGCCACCCGGGGAUGGACGCCCGCCCCGGUCCACACCCAGCCGUGUCCCCCGAGCCGGAUGCGCUGACGCAUCGUGACUCCGGGCAUUCUGUGGCUGUGCUCAUUGGCCCUUCUGUUGAAGAUUUGUUUAAAUCUUUUAAAAAUGGGGCCAAAAUAACUGAAUUCCUUUUGUUGCAAAACUGACCUGGGCCAUGGGGAGGAGCAGGCAGGCGUCUGGGCAGAGAUGGCCUGCAGUGUUCUCAUUGCGGAUAGUGGACCACACUCCUGAACCCGCCCCCUGGUUUCAUUCUGACGACAGUCCUGCGGGUGAGAGGCGUGCUGCCUGUUCUGCAGACAAGGAAAAGGAGUGGUGCCCAGUGGGGGCUGGCAGACCGCAGGUGGCAGGGCAGGCUCCAGGGCGCCGCCCAGAAGGGCCAGCCUGUGGUCUUCACGCCUCAGUGUACCCUUGCUCGUUUACCGCACUCAUCUGUGCAGACUCACCAGACUGUGAAACUCUAAAAAAUCCUCUAUUCUGGCUGAUAAAGGUCUCACAGGCACAAAAUGUGUUCCUAACGCCCAGUUCGUUCUGUCUCUGCAUGAGUGGUCAUCUUGUUCAGACGCGCCAGGAGCAUUGUGAACUGCUCCGUACUCGGCAGAGGAGGCCUGAGAUAGUUGGGGAUAGGGGUCCAAUGGGGGCGCCAAGCAGUGAGUCAGCCCCCCACCUAUCACCCUCGAGGGAGACCAGUGACCAGGCCGCGGCGGCCGAGCCCGAGAGCCCCUCACGAGGUCAGAAGCUGAUGGCCACACGUUGAUUCUGGAUUGAUUCAGCGCGGCUGUCUCAUAGCCCCACACAGACAGGAUGUUUCUGAGAAGGGAAGAGUUCUGUUUGAUUUUGUGACUUUUUCUUUAUCAUCAUUGAGUCAACUCUGGCUAUAGCUCUGCUCUUUUAAGAACUCGGGGUGACGUCUAUAAAAUGGGAAUCGUCACAGUGCCGUUUUCAAAGCGUGACUUUGAGGAUGAGGUUUUGCCCGUAAUAAACCUGGCUCGCCUUCGAGAAGGGCUUCAUACAGUUGUGUCUCUUAUUUGACAGUUUUUUCAAUGAUCUGAUGCUGUGUAACCACCCCAAGACAUAAGGGC